rnacentral:lncRNA from 1 species
GUUGGAACAGUAGUAGUAGUUGUGAUGAUAUUAAAGCAGUCGAUGGUGGAAUGAGUAUUUGGUCAGAAUGGGGCAACUGUUCAACAAAUUGUGGACGUGGACUUAGUUCAAGGACACGUACAUGUACCAGUCCCAAACCGGUAGGAAGCGGAAUGCCCUGUUUCGGAGAAAAAGAUCAACAUCGUCCUUGCACUGGGAAUGGGAAUUGCCUUGUGUGCUCGAAUACAUUUGGCAAGUGCUAUAGCAUAAUCUCGAGGCUGACAAACUGGCAUCAAGCAAGCCUUGAAUGCCGGAGAAGGAGUAUGAAACUUGUAUCUGUUUUAUCACUUCAAGAAAUGAAUUUUAUUAAGAGCAUUUUACGAGAGAGAAGAUAUUUAGAAGGAAACCCUACAGACUUUCACGACUCCGAUUUUUAUGUUCACAUAGGUACAUAUGUUUGUUACUGUUGACAUGGGAUACGUAAAUAUAACUACCAAACAAAUAUCGUAUCGUUUUUGAGAGAGCUAGUAGUAAUGUGACUGUUGUAAGGGCAUCGCCAUUUCG